CCGUCUGUUCUCCGGAGCACCUCACCAAUCUUUUCCUCUGCUUCUCUUCACUUUCUCUCUGCUUCACAGAAAAAGCAUCGUUCUCUCCGUAGCAUCUCUCUCUCUCUCUCUCUCUCUCUCUCUCUCUCUCUCUCUACUUUUCAAUCUCUAUUCAAGUAACUGCAUAAAACGAAACUCAUACAUGAAAGAUUCAGAUUCAUCUUGGGGCGUCGGAUUCCGAGCAUUGUCAUGUCAUGACUGAAACGCGAAUUCAGUUCUUGGUCUUUUAGGGUUUUCUGGUUAUGGCUAUCAGAGGCGUCGAUUUCAAGUGGUACGAUGGCUUCUUCUUGUCGAUGCUCGCCACAAGUGUAAUCAUUGUUGCAAUCAAUUGGAAACGGUAUCAUCUUUGUACAUACCCAUUGCACAUAUGGAUUGUGGUUGAUUAUACUACUGUUUUUGUUUUUCGCUUCUUGAUGUUCAUAGAUAAUGGACUUGCUGCUGGAAUGGGUUUGGAUUUUGGAUGGCAGCAGCGGUACGCUCGUUUUUGUGGAAGAAUAGUGGUCCUUUCAAUUCUUUCUUUGCUGCUUUACCCAUUCCUUUGGGCUUGGACUAUAAUUGGUACACUCUGGUUCGCUAGUGCAAGAAAUUGUUUGCCAGAAGAUGGUCAGAAAUGGGGUUUUAUUAUUUGGUUGCUUUUCAGCUACUGUGGACUCCUUUGCAUUGCUUGCAUGUCUAUGGGAAAGUGGCUUACACGAAGACAAGCACACCUAUUGCGUGCUCAGCAAGGAAUUCCUAUUUCAGAAUAUGGGGUUUUGGUUGACAUGAUUCGGGUACCGGAUUGGGCAUUUGAAGCUGCUGGUCAAGAAAUGAGAGGCAUGGGACAAGAUGCUGCAGCAUACCAUCCUGGACUUUAUCUAACUCCUACUCAAAGAGAAGCAGUGGAGGCACUCAUUCAGGAACUUCCAAAGUUCCGGCUAAAGGCUGUUCCAACUGAUUGCAGUGAAUGUCCCAUCUGCCUAGAAGAGUUCCGUGUAGGGAAUGAGGUUCGUGGCCUGCCUUGUGCACAUAAUUUCCAUGUAGAAUGCAUUGAUGAGUGGCUUCGACUGAAUGUGAAAUGUCCACGGUGCCGUUGCUCAGUUUUCCCCAACCUUGAUCUUAGUGCCUUAUCCAAUCUUCGCGCCGACUCUGAACGGCCCUCUGCCACUGUUGUAACAACCACCAGAUAUGUGAGAAGCCAACCUUCUAGCCAGAGUUACCUGUUGAGAUUGCAGGGUCUGCUCCGACCAGUCCGCACUGAGAAUGCAGGGGCUUCCAGUGAUGUAGAUGUUGAUCUGGAAGCUGUUGAGAAUGGAAAUGCAGUUUUGGCAACUGGAGAAGCAACAGGUGUGGAGCCAGCUUCCUCAAUUGGAUGCAUGCUUGUUGGUCAAUCCCCAUCUCAACACUAGUCUGUUAAUCAAUUUCUGACCUUGUGCUGAGAAAGGAUCCUUGUCAACGGCCAUUGCUUAGUGGUUGUACUGGUUCUUUCACGAUUGAGAAAACCCUCAGCGAUUCGGAGGGAUGACAGCGCCAAAUAUAUGGGGGAUGGGGCAAGCUGCUGCAACUGUGCCCCAUCUCAGCCCCUUUUGUUGCUUAGAUUUCUCAGCCAAGAAAUCCACCAAUUUCAGCUU